GGAAGGAUACAGCUCAGAGGUAGAGUGCAUGCCUAGCAUGCACGAGGUCCUGGGUUCAAUGCCCAGUACCUCCA
rfam:Camelus ferus unplaced genomic scaffold scaffold1533, whole genome shotgun sequence.